rnacentral:lncRNA from 1 species
UGUGUGUGUGUGUGCAAGCACGUUCUAGUUAUGCUCCAAAUUGUGGUUUCUCUGUCUGAAGUUAAAAAUGAAAGGUGAAUACAAUAUAUUGUAUUUGGUAACAAUGAUAUGGACUGGUACAUCGAGACAGAUAAUGUGCAGUUGUAAUUAGACUCAAUAGACAGGCAGUCAUUUUUAAAUUCUUUUGACACAUGCAUAAAAUAGUCAUAUAAUAAGAUAAGAUGACAAUUUUAUGUUAGGUUGAUAAAGUGUCCUGAUACAUGCAUUUAAAUGUCUGUAAGCCUUAAAAAAAAAAAAUCCAGACAGAUUAAUUCUAGUUUCCAGUAUUUGCAGUUAGUCAUUAAAUUAAUUUUCAAAUCCCACUAAACAAUGGCUAUGAAUAUGGUUGGUUUUUUUUUUUUUUCCCUUUUCUGGAUUCUUUUGCCUCAGUUGUAAGGAACAGAGCCAUAGAUUUGGUAGCUUUCUUUUAUUUUUCAACACUUGUAAACAUUUAUGUUAGACACGGGUGUCAAAAUUCAGGUUCCUGUUUGUUACUAGAAGGAUGCUGUGCAUUUUUGGAAGUGGAGAAAAAAAAAGCAGUGGUAGAACCUAAUCUGCCUAUGACCCAUGGCCUGCACAACUGUCAUACUCCCGGUUUUAGGAAUCUUUAUUAGAAAGACUACAUAGUGUCCUUGACCAAAUAUUGAAUAUUUUAUAAGCCCCAUUUAAAGACGACGACGUUUCGAGCACAUGCACUUGAUUUGAUCAGCCCUUAGAUUCUUGGACUUAAUCACUUUCGGUUCUGUAAAUUAUUUUAGUAUUUCCACAAGAGUGGCCCAAGAGAUGUAUUGGGGGCGAGGAGGGGGAAGCCUGUCUCUAAAGGUCACGUUACCUGGGUCCCCUGGCCUUUUCCACCAGCGCCUUCCCGAAUUUUCUCCAAGUGUGUGAAGGUGUGGCUCUGGAAGAAUAAUUUACAUUGUUUGGGCUUAAUGAUAAAUUAUUAAUUCGUCCUGUCAGGACACAUGUUAUUAAUUAUGACUGUGUUUUCUUCAUCCAGAACAGCUGUUGGGGCAACAGCGUAAGUUCAGAUUGUCUUCGAGGGGGAGAGCGCCAGAGCAAGGAACUUACCAACUCCUUGUCAUCAUCUUCCUGAUCCCCUUGCUUUGGGAAUAAAGGAUUGCAGGGGGCGGAGGGAAGGGGAGAGCGCAAGGAUUAAUUCUUGACCAAGGUGGGUCCUGGCAAAUGCUCACUUAAGGGACCUUUUUAAAAAGCAGGCCCGACGCAAACGAUGCUCCAAGUCCAGGUGGGAUGCUGAGGUCGUACCUGCGUCCUUCCGCCGCCUGGUUGCGGACUGGCUGGCUGCUCUCUCCGUUCUGCCCCUUCGUCCUCUUGUUGUCAUCCUCCUCUUGGGUAGACCAGAAGGUCGUGUUCCCAAGUUCAUGGUAGCGGAAAGCACAAUCCUCUCAAGGCCUGUUUGUCCCCCAAACUGGAACCCAUCCCUUGGAGAGCAGAGGGCUGUAUGGGGAUGUCCGUGAAAUGACUCCAGUGCAGUUACUUUUGAUUUUUCCAUCCCUAUCAUUAAAUCGAGUCCUAUGUCUUCAGUUUCCUCUGAGUUCUUUGAGAAAUGCAUGUUGCAUAAAAUAGGCAAUUUUUAAUGAACAAUUUAAUGUAAAUGGGUUUUGAAUUUAAAUUAAUAUUAAUGAAGCCUUGAGUGAAUUUAUUUUGCAUACGUAAAGACUUGUAAGUCUUUCACUCAUGUGCUUUCUCCUUUAUGUAGUAACAUUGGUUGGGUGGAUUAACCAGCGCCUUUUCAAGAUUUACACUUAAAACAUGAAAUUGAUUUCAUGUGUCCAAGAGUGCCAACAUAUUAUUAGGCAAAAGGGUUACUUCAUUUGAAGAAAAGAGACCUCAUUUCCCACGAAAACGCUGGCUCUCCACAGCCCUGCCCUUCCUAAAGGCUGCCGUGGGUUUGGCAUCGCUGCCGGGGGGGGGAAAAAUACACACCAACAAUAGUGACUACAAUCAAGACGUUGUCUUUCUUUGGCUUACCUCUAAUGCAUUAUGUAUCCUGGGAUGAUGGGAAGUUCUGUAAUUAAUUCUGUUAGAUGUAAUUGCUAUAAUCACUUUGAUGCUACACAUAAUAAAGGUAAUACGGUAAGCACAUAAAAAAUAUAAACACCUUAUUGUACCACCACGGCUCACAUUCCUUCUCUCGCCAAGUCUGGCUGAUAGACAGGUGGUCUCACCUGUUUUUCGAUCAGAGGUGACCACUCCUCCGACCUGUGUUCACGGAUGUCCCAAAGGAGAGCCAGGGAUUGGAAGGGAUGGUCCUGGGCUUGAAGGGAUCUCCAAGCUGGUUGCCUAGCGGUCUGAAGUCCCUUUCCCUGAAAGAUGUGGCUCAUAAGAAAAGGUGACCAUUCGCUUCUCAAGGGGAGGGAGGUGAAUACUGCAGAAGGCGUUGUGGGACAGAGGAAGAGGUGCGGGAGUGGACGGGGAGCUCGGGGCAGAGGUUCAGAUCACAGGAUGUGCUGCUUUAGCGGGUUUUCGCAUCCUCAGAGUGUGGGAUUAUGGGAAGUGCCCUGGUGUGUGUGUGUGUGUGUUGUGUGUGUGUGUGUGUGUGUGUUUCCAUUGAUCGGCCUUGGAUUAUCAUUGCUGCUGACCAGACACGGGUCCUCCCCUUUACAAGAUAGAAGACACCCCGCCCAUCAAGGGGGGAUGGUUGAAUUUUGAAUAAUUUCCAAGGACACAGGGAAAAAGGAAGUAUCUGUGAUUUACACGAAAGCUCACAGGCAACUUCUCUCUCUCUCUUCUUCCUCUCUCUCUUCCCCGACAGAGGCAGUCACGUAUGAAACAUUAAAAUAUAAACAGAGCCGUAGUAGCCGAAGCCAGGACCCUUGUCUGAUUUUUUAAACUCUGGGACAUGCCUUUAAAAAAAAAAAAUCUGUAUCUGAAAAGCUGAGCACAAUAUAGCUAUUCAAAAAAAAAAAAAAAAAAUGCCGGUUGGCUUGCUUAGCAGUG